rnacentral:rRNA from 1 species
CCUACGGGUGGCAGCAGUGGGGAAUAUUGGACAAUGGGCGCAAGCCUGACCCAGCGACGCCGCGUGAAGGAAGAAGGCUUUCGGAUUGUAAACUUCUGUUCUCAGGGACGAAAAAAUUGACGGUACCUGAGUAAUAAGCCACGGCUAACUACGUGCCAGCAGCCGCGGUAAUACGUAGGUGGCAAGCGUUAUCCGGAUUUGUUGGGUGUAAAGUGCGUGUUGGCUGGAGGUCAAGUCAGAUGUGAAAACUCAGGGGUCAAACCUCAGCCUGCAUUUGAAACUGGGUAACUUGAGUGCGAGAGAGGUAAGCGGAAUUCCGUGUGUAGCGGUGAAAUGCGUAGAUAUACGGAGGAACACCAGUGGCGAAGGCAGAUUGCUGGACAGUAACUGACGCUGAGGGGCGAAAGCGUGGGGAGCAAACAGGAUUAGAUACCCCAGUAGUC